CAAAUACAAAGCAAAGCACGAUUUUCCUUUCUUCAAAUAUUCAUGUCUCCAAAUGUUUAUUUCUUACAAUGUCUCCAAUAUAAUAAUACAAAAAGAUCAAAAAUCUUUAAGUCUUUUCACUCGACAACCCAUCUCGUACUAUCAUCCCCGAACUCACCACGUCCUCCUAAAAAGUCAUUUAAACAGGUAAGUCUACAUAACGGACGAAAAUAUUGCUCAACGAAAUCAAUAAUGGCUCACAACAAAUGUCAGAUAGCACAACGAAUCAAUAAUUUCCUCAAAGACCUCAUACCAGGUCUUUCCUGAUACUUACUAGUGACCGGCCUUCUCCACGUCUCCUACUCUCGGCUUUUCCUUCACGGUCCUUAGUGAUCUAUUGCGGAUCCACUCAUACAUGUACCAUUCCAUUCCAUAGCAUUUAGCCAUCCAAACAAUAACAUCAUACAUUCACGAUGCCAACAAAAAUACAUGGAUUUCAACAGAUAGCACACAUGCUCAAAUGAAUACAAAAUCAGAUAUUUUAGAAAAACAUCCGGAGUUUAGAAGCAUCUUGUAGUUACCCUACCUCCUGUUUACCUCAAAUGGAAAUUAACACUAUUGAUAUUAAGAUCUGGCUCCCAUGAUCAUCAUACUAAAAUUUCACAUUGAUUUGACAUCAUCUCACCGUUGAUCUAAACUCAUAUUUUUCCAUGAAUCAAAGCUAACCACACCACAACACAAAUAAUUUCUCCAGUCUCUAUUUCUUUCUUUCUUCUCACCUCCUCUGUUAGUCUUGUACCUCCUCUCUCAGAGACUCUCUUCACUAUUCCUUCACAUCUAACUUAAAAAUAACAAUAUAUAAUUAAUAUAUAAAACACCAUCAUACCUCUUAAUCUUUUUUCCUUUUUUCUUCUUUCUAUUUCCUAUUCCUUUCUAUUUUCUCUUUCUUUGUUUAUUUUUUUAUUUUUUUCUUUUCUUACAACUUUAGCGGAAAGUUGCGUUCCCCACACGAAUCCUAUAAAUUACAAGUAUUUUUUUCUCACUUAUUCUUUUUUUUUAAUUUUAUUAUCCCAAAAUUUAUACAUCCUUUCAAUUAAAACCCAAAACAUAAAUCGGGUUAUUACAGAAACCAAUCCUCAACAUCAAAUCAUAAUCAAAAAAUCAUAAUUUACACACAUCAAGCAAAAACCCGAGUCCAUUUGGCAGUUUAAAGAAAAGCCAUGGCCAAUAUCAUGAACUUUCAAUAUCUUAUAAGAUUAACUAAUGCAGAUAAAAGGGCUUAUGCAAAUCAAGCUCACCUUCAAAUCCAAAUUAACAAAAAAGGGAAAAGGCUACCCAAAAAUUAAAAUUUUUCAUACAACGCAAUUACAGACAUAUAUUGAUGCCAAAGCUAUAUAUUAUGUCAGCAAAGAAGAGAAGAAGAUGAUACCUAAGAAGAAAUUCUUGUUGGAAAUUGUUAUUUGUUGCGCCGUGUAUUCAAUGUUUAAGCAACUAUGGAGUCACAGACGAAUUAGGGAUUGAACUUAAGUCUUUUUUUAAAUAUGUAGUCAAUGAAUACAAUAGGAAGGGUUGCAUAAAAAAUAAUAAAAAAUUCAAUUCGUACACUUAAACGAAGAAGCAAAUAUGAGAUAUAUUUACUGCUCGUUUGGUACAACUUUUUUUUUUAGGUUUUUUCAAUUUUGCCUUUUCGACUUAUAAGAAAAAAAAAUUAAAAAUUCUAUUUUUUUGCUUUUAAUAAGAUAUGACAAACAAAAAAAAUAAAAAAAUAGCAAAAAAACUUCAAAAUAUUGACUUUUUUAUAAGUCAAAUAUAUUAAGUCCUAAAUAAAAAAACAAAGCCCAACCAAAAGAGCCCUUAUUUUAGGUGGGUCUCAUAUUUCACAAUUUCUUGAUCUGAUUAGAUAAAGUCUCAAAGUUAUUGUAUGUAUAAAGGAUAUUAGGAUAAUUAUUGGGUUCAAGAUCCAUAUCUAGAGGAUUUAAAGAUUUCUAAAAAAAAUUACAAAAUUUUAUUCAGUUUUUUUUUUUCAGGGGUUCAACUGACCCUCUGGAUCAAGCCUAGAUUUGCCCAUGACUUCCAUCAAUGGCGUUGCAAUCAAGGAUUGGGAAAUCUACAAUGAUGCCCGCGUGAUAGUUCAUGGGGUCUGGAGCUAAUAGGUUAUAGGAACAGAGAAUUUGGAAAUUGUCCGGUUUCUGAGGUCCGGUUUCUGAGGUCCGGUAGCAACUCAAAUAAACAUACCCUCUAGACUGAAAUAUAAGGGGUGGUUCUAUUUAUAAUUAACUUAUUGGCGUAUAAUGCAGCAUGAAAUAUAAGGGGUUAGGGUUGUAAAAAAAAAACUCGCGAACUGCGAAACCGAACUGAACCGAUCCGUAGAUUUUUUAUUGGGUUCGUGGAUUAAUGGGUCCGAACACGGAUUGAAAAAUUAGAAAACCGUAAUUCGUGGUCGGUUCAUGAAUUUUCAUACUUAAAACGUGGAUUAAUGAAACCGGACCGUGAGAUUUUUAAUAUAUAUAUGAGUCUAUCU
rnacentral:lncRNA from 1 species